rnacentral:rRNA from 1 species
AACGAACGCUGGCGGCGUGGAUAAGACAUGCAAGUCGGACGAGAUUUUUCGUUGUAGCAAUACGAUGGAAAGUCUAGUGGCGAACGGGUGCUUAACACGUGGGCAACCUGCCAGGAAGUGGGGGACAGCUCGCCGAAAGGCGGAUUAAUACCGCAUGUGAUUAGAGAGGACAUCCUUUCGAAAUUAAAGUCGGGGCAACCUGACGCUUCUUGUGGGGCCCGCGGCCUAUCAGCUAGUUGGUGAGGUAACGGCUCACCAAGGCUUUGACGGGUAGCUGGUCUGAGAGGACGACCAGCCACACUGGGACUGAGACACGGCCCAGACACCUACGGGUGGCAGCAGUCGAGAAUUUUUGACAAUGGGGGAAACCCUGAUCGAGCGACGCCGCGUGGAGGAUGAAGGUCUUCGGAUUGUAAACUCCUGUCAUUGGGGAACAAUGCGCAAAUAGUAACUGUAUUUGUGUUGAUAGUACCCGAAGAGGAAGAGACGGCUAACUCUGUGCCAGCCGCCGCCGUAAGAC